GAUGAACGCUGGCGGCGUGCCUAAUACAUGCAAGUCGAGCGAACAGACGAUGAGCUUUCUCCUCUGACGUUAGCGGCUGACGGGUGAGUAACACGUGGAUAACCUACCUAUAAUACUUGGAUAACUUCGUGAAACCGGAUCUAAUACCGGAUAAUAUAUUGAACCGCAUGGUUCAAUAGUGAAAGACGGUUUUGCUGUCACUUAUAGAUGGAUCCGCGCCGCAUUAGCUAGUUGGUAAGGUAACGGCUUACCAAGGCGACGAUGCGUAGCCGACCUGAGAGGGUGAUCGGCCACACUGGAACUGAGACACGGUCCAGACUCCUACGGGAGGCAGCAGUAGGGAAUCUUCCGCAAUGGGCGAAAGCCUGACGGAGCAACGCCGCGUGAGUGAUGAAGGUCUUCGGAUCGUAAAACUCUGUUAUUAGGGAAGAACAACUGUGUAAGUAACUAUGCACGUCUUGACGGUACCUAAUCAGAAAGCAACGGCUAACUACGUG
rnacentral:rRNA from 1 species